CUUAGUCCUGAGCUUCGCCGCGACCUCCGUCUGCAUGAUUGCACAUCUUUUUCGAAACUUGUCAACAAAGCCAUCAGUGCUGAAACUGGUCAGACUGACUAUGACGCAACACGCAAGCAUGGCCGUGACAUGGGUUCUUCAUCCGGUGCUGGUCCUCAGAAGCGCCGCGUGUGGGUGCCCAACACCGCCCUGCCACCCAGGUUCACACCGAGGCCAUCUUUCCAGGCGCCUCGCCCCGUUCAACAAUCUGCACCGGCCAAGCCCUAUGGGGGUCCAACCAAUAAUGCUCCUCCACGUACCAGUUCCGUGACUUGUUUCAAGUGUGGGGAAUCUGGCCACUAUAUGCGUGAGUGUCCCCAGACCAACCCCAAUCAA
rnacentral:rRNA from 1 species